rnacentral:rRNA from 1 species
GACGAACGCUGGCGGCGUGCUUAACACAUGCAAGUCGAACGGAAAGGCCCUGCUUUUGUGGGGUGCUCGAGUGGCGAACGGGUGAGUAACACGUGAGUAACCUGCCCUUGACUUUGGGAUAACUUCAGGAAGCUGGGGCUAAUACCGGAUAGGAGCUCCUGCUGCAUGGUGGGGGUUGGAAAGUUUCGGCGGUUGGGGAUGGACUCGCGGCUUAUCAGCUUGUUGGUGGGGUAGUGGCUUACCAAGGCUUUGACGGGUAGCCGGCCUGAGAGGGUGACCGGCCACAUUGGGACUGAGAGACGGCCCAGACUCCUACGGGAGGCAGCAGGGGGGAAUAUUGCACAAUGGGCGGAAGCCUGAUGCAGCAACGCCGCGUGCGGGAUGAGGGCCUUCGGGUUGUAAACCGCUUUCGCCUGUGACGAAGCGUGAGUGACGGUAAUGGGUAAAGAAGCACCGGCUAACUACGUG